CCGGCGACCGGCGCACGGGUGAGUAACACGUAUGCAACCUGCCCUCUUCAGGGGGACAACCUUCCGAAAGGGAGGCUAAUCCCGCGUAUAUCGGUUUCGGGCAUCCGAGAUCGAGGAAAGAUUCAUCGGAAUAGGAUGGGCAUGCGGCGCAUUAGCUAGACGGCGGGGUAACGGCCCACCGUGGCGACGAUGCGUAGGGGUUCUGAGAGGAAGGUCCCCCACACUGGUACUGAGACACGGACCAGACUCCUACGGGAGGCAGCAG
rnacentral:rRNA from 1 species